rnacentral:lncRNA from 1 species
AUGAAAUGAAAAGAUAUUUUAAAGUUUAAGGUAUUAUAUAAAAAAUACAUUAGAGCAGAAGAAUGUUAUAUAUUCUUAAAAGAAUGUAAGUUUAAUACGGUGUUGCCUUUGUCAAUGCAUAGAAUUAGAUUACUAAUCUAAUAUAAGAACAUUGCCAAGGAAGUUAGACUAAGAUGUCUCAAAUACACAACAACAAAUGUUAGAAGGGAAUGCUUCAGGUUGAAAAAUAAAGUAAAAAAUUUGGAAUCUCAAUAUUUUAAUCAUGAUGAUGAGCAGGCUAGAGAACAAAUAUUGAAUACUAAAUCCCAACUGGAGUACUAUACUCAUUAUAUAUGCAUAUAGUUACAUCAAAAGGUUAAAAUGGAUAUUCCAUAAUCAAUUGCCAACAUUAAUAGUAGAUGAUGUUUUGACAGCCAUUGAAUUCUGCAACUGGGAUUGUACAUGUACCUUCCCCAGUUGCAAAACUUGUUUUAAAGGACCUAAUUGUGCAGUUGAAACAACCUUCCAACUUACAGAUAUUGCUCUCCAGCUGGAGCCUAUGCUAAGUAUAUAUAAUGAGGCAUACCACAAAAACUAAGAUGAGAAAUAAUUAAUGAAAAGAUUAAGUGCAAUAAAUCUAAAAAUUAUUUGAAUGAGAAAAAAUUUUGAAACUGCCACAGUAUAUGCUAAGCACUGAAUGAUUGAAAAGAACAUAGUAUGCACGAGGGAGGGCAAGACUAAAAAACUGGCUUUUAUGUGUAAAAUCACAUAUAAAAUGUUUCUACCUGGUUUCAUACAAAAAUCUGAAUCAGAAGUGCUAACACAGGAUUCUACUGAUGAGCUCUCAAGAAAAUUUAAUAGAAUUAUAACAUCAAAAAAGUUUCCCAAACUCUGGACAGUUAGUAAGAUUGAUUGCCCACUGCCUCCAUGCUUAUUUGGUUAUAUAAUGCUCAUAUAACUCCAGUGGCAUUAAGACCAAUGGUAGAUGAAACAUCAUUGCCUGUUUAUAAUCAGAAAAAGUUAUAAUAGCAUGAGCUAAUAAUAUAAUGAAAGGAUGUCACCAUACAAUUAUAUCCUCCCAGGAGUUUAUAGAAAGACUAUUAGAAAUGGGACCUUUGCCAAACGAAAUCAUAAACUAGUGGUUCUCAACCUUGUUUGUUGCCACAGUACACUUUUAAUAAUUCAAAAAUUUGGUAGCACAUUAACAAUAAGAG